GUAUCCUCACCGAGGCCCCGGCCCCUAACCAGAGCCCGUCCACAGGAGCUGGAGGAGGUGCGGCGCUGGGGCGGGGUCCGCGACCUGCACUUGGUGGACCGUGAUGUGCUGCGCUGGAGGGGACUGCUGCUGCCUUGCUGCAGGACCUGCUGCUGCUGCUCGACAACCCCGGCACUGAGCGGGUGCUGCGCCCUGAGCUGGCCCGUGAGCUGAGCGAGAGGCCUGAGGCCUUCCUGCACCAGGCAGAGGAGCACACCCGCCGCUAUGCCGAGCCGCGCCCUGACACCCCUGGACCCUGAUCCCCCACCUCAGAGCCCCCUGCCCUGUACAUAAAACUCCCACUUCAAUCCUGUGACUCCUCUGCGCGAUGCUGUCCCCGCGAGAGAUGAGG
rnacentral:lncRNA from 1 species